rnacentral:rRNA from 1 species
UACGUAGGGCGCAAGCGUUGUCCGGAAUUAUUGGGCGUAAAGAGCUCGUAGGCGGUUUGUCGCGUCUGCUGUGAAAACCUGCAGCUCAACUGCAGGCUUGCGGUCGAUACGGGCAGGCUAGAGUUCGGUAGGGGAGACUGGAAUUCCUGGUGUAGCGGUGAAAUGCGCAGAUAUCAGGAGGAAUACCGGUGGCGAAGGCGGCAUCCUGGACCGGCAUUGACGCUGAGGAGCGAAAGCUAGGGGAGCAAAGCGGG